GCUAGAAUUCUGGAGAAUUUUAUCUUUGAAAAUCUUUAAAAUAACACAUGAUGAGUUCCUGUAUGACGAGAGUUUAAAAUCCUACCACAGCCACAUAUACAUGCUUAUUAGACUAUGAACCAUAUAUUUACUUUUUACUGCUUAUGAGCAUUGAGUGUGGUCAAGCUAUGUAGACCCUUGGGAGCUUGUCAUGCGGUUAAAAUCAAGAUCCACUUGCACGUUUACUCACACAUGUUGCUUCUACUCUAAAAGUACGCAUCCACAUAUAUCCACUCAUUUCCAUCUCCAGUGCCACCCAAAAGUAUUCUACUCCUAAUCCGACAAAGAAUAGCCAAAAACAUUCUCCUAUUUUUGUUAUUCCCUGUGAAAUAAAUGCUCCAGUUAUUUUGGUUACUACCACUUGCUACAUUAUUCCAGGAGGGUGAGUGCUCUAAAAAAAUGAAUGAUGAUGAAUACGAGGAAAUAAAAAUGGGCAAGUGCCUGGAACCUCGAAAGAAAAGAAAAAGUUAGACGAUAGGUAAAAAUGGACAAGUGUCCGACAGUAGAAUUAGGGGUACAAGAUACCCACCUGAGAGAAAAGAAAAAAAAUAUAGAGCAUCUCAUUCUCCUCAAAAAGUUUCAAAAGUGCAAGAAAGGUAUGUAUCCCUUCAAAAGUGCAAAAAGUAGAAUUAGACUUUCACCAUUGUUAUCACCAUCAUCACCAUACACCAUUCACUUGCCACACAUGCACAUCUUGAUUUGACUUAUUGACUUGUUUCUCUAGAUCCAUGGUUUGACUAUGCAAUAAAUGUCUUGUAAGUAUGUAUUAUCUUUCUCCCACCUAUGAGCUCUAGAUAUCA
rnacentral:lncRNA from 1 species